AGAGGCUAACAGGGCAUGAAUGUAAACAAAUAAUGUCUGAUCUGAUAAGCCCUAGUGUGUUAAACCUCAUUUUUAUUGUUGUGUUCCACUAUGUGAUUCCAAUUCUAGAAAUGAUUAUACGGUUAUUUUUUAUAAAAUACCUGAGGAUGUGAGUUUAAUAAAUGCAGGGAUUGUGAAAAUAAAAAGGAAUGAAUGGGAACAUUUCAAGAUCAAUACAUGACAACAGUUGCUCGUUUUGAAGCAUUUCACACAAUAAGAUUAACAAUCAUGGACACCAAUUCGAAAAAGUCUGAAGAUAAUAGAUGUACUUUCUUGGUUUGACUAGAGAAGUUAUGAACACAACAGUAUGAUGAACACUAAAGAAGAUUUUGCCAGAUAAAAGGAAUUCCAUGAUUGUUAACUGUCACACAAAUUGACAACUGGUAUUUGAAUCGCCUUAAGUUGUACAAAUGCAUAACAGAUGAAAAAGAAACUAUCAAACUGUUCAAA